UGGAACAGUGGUUCCUAUACGAUCACCAACGUUAAGCAACGUCGAGCCUGGUCAGUAUCUAGAUGGGUGAGCGCUUGGGAAUACCAGGUGCUGUAA